GUAGGGAGCAAGCGUUAUCCGGAUUUAUUGGGUGUAAAGGGUGCGUAGACGGGAAAUUAAGUUAGUUGUGAAAGCCCUCGGCUUAACUGAGGAAUUGCAACUAAAACUGGUUUUCUUGAGUGCAGGAGAGGUAAGUGGAAUUCCUAGUGUAGCGGUGAAAUGCGUAGAUAUUAGGAGGAACACCAGUGGCGAAGGCGACUUACUGGACUGCAACUGACGUUGAGGCACGAAAGUGUGGGGAGCAAACAGGAUUAGAUACCCUGGUAGUCCACACCGUAAACGAUGGAUACUAGGUGUAGGGUGUAUUAAACAUUCUGUGCCGUCGCAAACGCAGUAAGUAUCCCACCUGGGGAGUACGGCCGCAAGGUUG
rnacentral:rRNA from 1 species